CAUAACUUUUGUGAAGAUGUUCCUAGUUCCUGGAAUAAUCGUUCCUUGCCGAUACUUCCAGGGUUGUAUUUAUUAUCUAAAUAAUUAUCAGGCAAAUGUUUUCAAAAGGAUUAAAAUACAAAAACUGGCUUUCUAUAAUCAUUAUAGCGGCUGAUUUUCACUCAUUUUCAUACGCAACCUCGAUAAAAAGGCAAAAGGCGGAACCGCGGAAUGGUCCCUCGUCCAACUGUUCGAUGUCCAACUCGCACUCGGAACUCCGGAGUCCGGACCAUUGUUCAAUUCAUCAAUCCACUCAGCCCAACGAGAACGAACUCAGCCAGCCAAGCCAUGCCUUGCCGUGAAUUUCAAAAUGAAAACUUAAUUUGAUCUACUUUUCAUGAUUCUUAACGAAGAAUCGAUUGUAUUAUCGGCGUCUACUUGACUAUACUCAGUUUCAUCGAACACAGAUCGACACUUCCAAGAGCUUGCCUUAUCAGAUGUACAUUGCUGCUCAGUGCCAUUUGCUCUAUGCCUGUAGAUGUUUCCUGUCAUGUGUGGAAGGAACGUCGGGUAGAGAAUCGAUGGCUACCUUAAUAUCA